GUCGAACGGGAGGAAAAGAGAAGCUUGCUUCUUUUUGAAUCUAGUGGCAAACGGGUGAGUAACACGUAAACAACCUGCCUUCAGGAUGGGGACAACAGACGGAAACGACUGCUAAUACCGAAUGUGUUCCGGAGACCGCAUGAUUUCCGGAAGAAAGGAUGGCCUCUAUUUAUAAGCUAUCGCCUGAAGAGGGGUUUGCGUCUGAUUAGGCAGUUGGUGAGGUAACGGCCCACCAAACCUACGAUCAGUAGCCGGUCUGAGAGGAUGAACGGCCACACUGGAACUGAGACACGGUCCAGACUCCUACGGGAGGCAGCAGUGGGGAAUCUUCCGCAAUGGACGAAAGUCUGACGGAGCAACGCCGCGUGAGUGAUGACGGCCUUCGGGUUGUAAAGCUCUGUGAUCGGGGACGAAUGGCUGGUAUGCUAAUACCAUAUCAGAGUGACGGUACCCGAAUAGCAAGCCACGGCUAACUACGUGCCAGCAGCCGCGGUAAUACGUAGGUGGCAAGCGUUGUCCGGAAUUAUUGGGCGUAAAGCGCGCGCAGGCGGCUUCUUAAGUCCAUCUUAAAAGUGCGGGGCUUAACCCCGUGAUGGGAUGGAAACUGGGAGGCUGGAGUAUCGGAGAGGAAAGUGGAAUUCCUAGUGUAGCGGUGAAAUGCGUA
rnacentral:rRNA from 1 species